UGGAGCACAACAAGAACUUGUACGAGCAGGUCAAUGCCAUUGCUUCAAGGAAGGGUUGUACCCCAUCACAGCUAGCUUUGGCCUGGGUCCAUCACCAAGGCAAAGAUGUUUGCCCCAUACCUGGCACUACCAAGAUUGAGAACCUCGAUCAGAAUAUAGGAGCUUUGUCUGUGAAACUGUCGGCAGAGGAAAUGGCGGAACUUGAAUCUAUUGCUUCGGCUAUCAAGGGUGAGAGAUACGAGUCUGACGCUGGGCUUGGUACUUGGAAAACUUCUGAAACUCCGCCUUUGUCAACCUGGAAGCGGACAUGAAGACAUACCUUUGUUAUGGCAAUAAUUCCUUCUAGCUAUGUGCCUGAUGGUGGAUUUCACUAUAUUGAGAGUUGAGUGAUAUGUAAUUGUUCCAAUAAAUUUUGACAUACUAUUGUCUCUAGGGCUAUGUCAAGUAAAGUUAUAAGAAGAAUGGAGUAUCUUCAGAGAGGUUGUAAUAAAUAAAGAUCUGGUCAUGUAAAAGCAGAAUAUAAUUUUCCUUGCAGUUGAAUGCAUUAAGAGUUAUAUAUUGUACUUUUGAAUGCUAAAGUGGUCCAUUUUUUAUGUGCUACUGCUACGAGAGUUAUAGAUUGUUGAACAGCAUUCAAUUCAGGACUUAUUAAACAUAAGCAUAUAAACAUUUUAUUCUCGGAAUAUUUACAUCAAAAGAAACUCCAAGGUCACAUCAUUGUAAAGUGUAAACUAUAUCAUAUUAAUAAAAAGCAAAAAAAAAAUGUCUAAAUGAGGAAAAAAAUGUACUAUAGAAGAAGUCAACAAUGUCAUGUAAUCAUUUUUUCCUAAAAUUGAGAUUCAAAUUUAGUUGAUUUGUAUUUUGAGUUUCCUCUUUGAUGGGAAAUGUAUCUCAGAACUUUAACUCCAGCAGUUGAUGUUUCCUACUUGGAGUACUCAGUCCACCUUGAUGCAUUGAUCUUUCCCCUGAACUUGUGCCCGUCAAACAAUAUUUCUGAUCAUCUUGAAGUAAUUAGUACCAUCUGUUCAUUACUCCCUUCUGAUUUCUUGCAUUAUAGUUUCCUCUUUAAUGGGAAAUGUAUAUCAAGAUCUACCUUCUACAAUUGAGAUUUCUUAGAGUACUCAGUCCACCUUACAAGACUGUUCUUUUCCCUGAACUUUGUUCACUUCAAACAAUACUAUGAUCAUCUUGAAGUUAUUCGUAUUGUUGUCUUUUGUAGACGACACAUGCUUUACGGCCUUUUGAAUUUCUGCAUUGCAGUUGCUUAAAUUUUGAAAUUCCUACAAUGUAGAAUAUGCAGGUAGAGAAUUUGGCAAAAAUUCAACGAAUACUAGUUGUGGGCAUCUGAAAAUGGUUAUAGAUGACAAGGGACGAUGAUUUUACUUGGAAACUUGGGUUUUUACAUUCUUGUGGUAUGUAUUACUAUACAAAAAUGGUAAAAUUAAAACAUAACCAAGUUUUGGGGUUAAAUAAGAAAUUUGAGAUAACAGGUUAGCUAAAUUUUUAAAGUGAGCCAAAGCACAAGGACUUAAUACUACAUGUUUUACUAAAAUGGGACCCACAUCUCUAAAUUCAGGCCUGUCAAGUUCAUCGAGGCGCUUCGUUUGCAAACGGACCCAUUUGUCAGCCCAAAUCAUCAAACGCUUCCUUCCUCCCCUUUUUAUUUAAUACUAGUGCGGUGUGAUUUUCAAUAUUGCCCAUAAAUGCCCAAUCAUUCAAAUUUAGAUAUUAAAUAUGAAAAGUUACAUAAAAAUGCAUUACUAUCUUUGCAGUUAUGUUUUUGUAAUUUUAUUAAAUAGUAAAAAUAAGCUACAGUCUUAGCUUUUCAUAGUUUUAGAAGUUUUUUUUCAUAAAAGGAACUUUAAAAUAAUAUACAAUCAUACAAAAUGAAAAUAAAAUCCCCAAACAGUCAUCUUGCAACUAAAAGAUGGUGGGACAUAACAUCAUAAUAAAAGAUAUCUUGUUGUUAGCAUCCUAUACAUUAGCUAAACAAUCUACCAUCUGAUUUGCUUCACUGCUUACAUGCUUUGAUCAAGACUUGCUGCCAAAAUACGAUAAGACACCUACAAUCAGAUAUAACCAUAGCACAUUGUAAAUAGCAGUAUCAUAUUGGUUUAAAAGAUUAAAAAUAUUAAUAGCAUAAACUUCUAAUUCCAGUUUGUAGCAAUAAUGAUCUAUGAAGAUUGGAAGCUAUUCCUGAUCGUUUACUGAUCCGAUGGUCCAAAAUCCAUAUUAAUUCCUUACAACUACAGCAACUCCAAGAUUGCCUUUUGAAACCCUACCAGUGAUAAGUUUUCAAAAGCCAUCCUUAGGACGAGUCUCUAUAGAAUCAUAACUUCAUAUUUUUCCCUAGCCAUGGUCUGUUUGGGUUCUGAGGAGUAAUUAGAGGUAUUCAAAAGAGGAAAGGAUUGCGGUUUGCCAACAUAGAAAGAUUAGAUUCGUUUUGAUAAUUCAAUGAGGACCAACCAGUGAAAGAAAUCACAAUGCCCCAAAGAACUUGAAAAAUGGUGAAGGGUUUUUUGCUAGGUAUGCUUUUUUUUUUUUUCAUUCAUUCCUCACAGCUUAAAUGAUGAUCAAUACCAAUCUCCCAAGACAAGCGUCCAUGUAAUAAAAUCAGUAAACAGAAUAACUUUUCAAUUUAACUUGAGAGAAGAAAAUGUACAACCGAAGCAAAUCUCACGAGGAAUAGAAAAAACCACUGUUUGGAUAUAUAACUGAAGCUCAUUUCUCAGCACAUCUUUAUCAAUAAUACAAUCAAGAUAUGCCAAAUUAGGUGAGAGAAACUAUUAGGUGAGAGAUGUUACAAAUCUAAGAGAACAUCAUGUUUUGUAAAUACAUAUUUAAAUCAACUAAAACUGAAUUUUCUAACAAGAAUUUCUAAGCUACCAAACAUCAUAGUCUAUGAUUAAAGAGGCAAAACUACAGUUAUGCAGUAAGUUAAUUCUUUUUUCGGCAAAUGAAUAGAACAUUUAAGGUGUUAAAACAAUAACUUACUAUUUCAAGCAGGUGCUUAGAAUCUAAUAUUUGAGAAUCCUUGUGUUGGGCAAAACUUUAACCACCUACAAACAGGAAAACUAUUUAUAAGAUCCAGUGAAUCAGAAACAAUUAAUCAAAAAAAGAUUGCUGAAAAUACUUGGUUUAAUAUCCACUUAAGGCUCAUAAAACAAAUAUUCAAAAGGUUUUAACAAAGACAAUUUUCUUUGCUAAAAAACAAAAAAAUUGAACACAAAGCAUUCAAAAGAGUAGCAUCCCAAGAUCUUUUGUAACUCAAAAUUUUGGCCAAUGACCAACUUGGCAGAGAAGUUCCUGAUUCCUAGAGAAGAAAUUCAUUAGUUCUACAAGUGUUGGAAACCCAAUGAAGGAAAAAAAAACAGAAGAACUGAAGCAAAAAGAAAUACAUUUUGAAGAUGAAGAAAUAUAUUUUAAACAAGUGUAUCUUUUAGUUACCAUAGGGAAUGUUUUUUUUGAGCAGAUCAACAAAAUACCUACGUGAAAGACGCCAAAAAAUGAUUAAAAAGAAAAUUUGAAUGAGUUUGAAAAGAGCAAAGGCCAUUGAAAAUGACCAAAGAGAAAAGCAUACCAGGUCUCAAAAGAGCAAUUUAAAGGAAAAAAUUAAAUCAGAAUGACACAACAAAACUUACGUUUUGUCUCACCAGUUGUUCUUCACAGGUGGCCAUUUUUGCUUCCAACUCCAGAAGAAAUCCAAGAAAGGCAAAAGCUUAGGUUGAGCUAAAUAAACAAAAGGUCAUUUUCUUUAGCAAAUUAUAGGCACAUAAGUAGGUGAGAUAAUUUAAGAGAGUACUCAAGUUUUGAGACUUCAAUCUUACCAGUCUCAAAUGCAAGUAAGAAUAACAUAAAUCAUCUACAACCAGACAACACCAUGGAAAAGAAAAUUUCCUAAACAAUCCAACUUGUAAAAUUACUUAAGAGGUAAUCUAUAAGCUUAAGCAGCAGUCCAUCGGAGGGGAAGAGCUUAUAUUGUCCUCUAGGCAAUGCAAUAAAUGAAGGAAAAUAUAGGCUGCAAAACCAUGUAAAACUCAUAGUUGGCAAGGGUAGCCUCAGCACAAGUUAGGACACUACUGAGUCAUGAGAAAUUUUGUGAUUACAUCUUUAACAGACAUUAUUCAUGAAGCAACAAUAUACAUUGGCAAGUAGAACACAAAAAUGAAAAUCCUUUCCCUUACAAUGCUUGGUAAUGAACAAAACGGAAAGAUGAUUACCAACUAUCACUAAGAAGCUCUAUUUUGUUUGGCUAUGAGCUCAAAACUAUCACUAAAAGAUUAUCGUUAAGCACCUGAUGAUCCAAAUGUCCAAAUAGUGGAAAAUAUACAGGAAUACAAGAUUUAUUAUUCAAUCCUUUAUCGCUAUGUAAUAGUUGUACCCUGAGCUGAUUCGCCUAUAUAAUGGAAUAGAGAAUCAUAGAGGUUAAGCCAAUACCUUAAAAUUCAAUAACCACAAAAAAUUGCACAAGAAAGUAAUACCUUAAGGACCACUACGAGCUAAAAGAUUGCAACGACUAUGGCAGUUUUUUUCCUUCAUGAUUAGUAUAUCAAUCUAAUAAAAUUCCCCACAAAUUAGAGAUCAAAACAAAGUAAACAUUGAAUUUGCUAGAUCCAUAAACCUAAUUACCACUUCCAUACACAAUAUAGCAAGGUCAAUGAAAAUAACACCAUUUAAACAAACAAAAAUUUACACUAUAAUUAACUAUCCAAAAUAUCAACAUUUCAAUUUCUACCUAAUGAAAACAACCUCUGAUGAGAUGUUUCUGCACAUGUGAGAAGUGCCAUUUUGUUAACAUAGUUCUGCAAUUGAGUUUCUUAAUCUGAGAAGUCACCAUGAAAGAAAAGAAAAGCUUGAGUUUAGUCAGAUUUACCAAUCCAAUAUCAUCAUUCCUGAUGAUGGAGUGCUUUAUUAUGCGCUUGCAGCUAUCAAAGUAGUCAUAGCAGAAUGAAAUAGAGUAGCUCACAUAAAGGCCAAUCGGGACUUAUGUACUGCACUUGGAAUUGAUUUUUCUAUCUUCCAACCAAAUAGUGUUUGCUUAUUAGUGUAUUUCAGGUAAUAUCUUGAUGUAUUGUUGUGGGUAUUCCCUUUGAUGCUGAUCAAUUGUUGUGGGUAUUCCCUUUGAUGCUGAUCAAUCGAAAGGAAGCUCAUUAGAAAAAAAGGGAUAAUAAGUAUAGAUAUGUUUAUGACCCUGUGAGGUGAAUCGUGCACCACUCCAAAGAAAACAAAAAAAAAAAGGAUAAAAACCAUCCGUUGAUUGUAUAUCUCAAUUCCUCAUCUUGUAACCAGGAAAAAUGGAUAUGUAGAAACCAAAAAAAAGGGUUCCGAAGAAGGAAAAAAUACAGUACUAUAUAUAGUUUAUAGACAUCACCAAACCAGUAACUUUGAGUGCGGAAUUUCUAGGAGAUCAUGAGAGAGUGAAGCACAAAAAUAUAAAGAGAAAGUGGAGUUAUACAGUACCCAUACCACAUGGCCAAAUCUAGUUAAUAUUUUCUUUUCUUGACUGCAGCAAACUGAGAAAAAUUCUCAAGGGAAAAAAUUUUCAGAACAUAACGUGAACUUUAUAAAUACCAGAUUUCUGAGAAACAAAACAACAGACCUGGAAAAGUAAAAAUCAUGCUGAAAGAUAAAAUUGACUCCAAAUUUCCGACUGCUAUCAGCCAAGAAUCGAAAAAAUAAUUAGCCAGUACUUCUAAAAAAUAAUUAUUGGCUGAUUAUAAUUAGCCAAGAGAAAACCACCAAAAAAAGGCCAAAAUCCUAAACUUACAAUUAGCAAGCACCGAUUGUUUAUGCUUGAUCCCCCCCCACCAAAAAAAAAAAAAGGAUUGAGACAGGCUAAUGCAUUUCAAACAUUAGCAGUCAUGCAUUAGAAAAGCAACAAGUUAACCACAGUAUGUGACAUUAAAUGUUGGCAAAUUCAUCUGCUAAAUACAUUUUCUCACGUCAUCCUAAAAUUUCUAAUUCCCAUCCUGCUUAGUAAAAUAAAAUAAAAAUACUACAAUAAAACAUCACCAGAAUGAGAAAAGCAUCAAUUGUGUGACUACAAAAUUAUGUGCAAGUAGAUGGAAAGUAAUAAAAACUUUAAGAAUUGUGUACUACCAUCCAUAAACCAUUCACAAUUUGAAGAAAUGUAAGCUCAUUUAAGUAUCUUGUUCAAAUCUACAAGAAAUUUUAGCACCAUCAACCUGCAAAUUACAUACAAACAAGCUCAAAUUUGGAUGGAAUCAACCAUAAUUAAUGCAAACUAAGUACUACAUUUCAUCACGAACCAAAUUUAACAAAAAAAUAAUUACUACUAUCACCUUUUUGGACGAAAACAUUAUGCAUUAUUAUCAUUUUCAUAUCCAAAUAACUACCUUUACCAAGCAUCCACCUCAUUGUAAGAAUUGUGUACUACCAUCCAUAAACCAUUCACAAUUUGAAGAAAUGUAAGCUCAUUUAAGUAUCUUGUUCAAAUCUACAAGAAAUUUUAGCACCAUCAACCUGCAAAUUACAUACAAACAAGCUCAAAUUUGGAUGGAAUCAACCAUAAUUAAUGCAAACUAAGUACUACAUUUCAUCACGAACCAAAUUUAACAAAAAAAUAAUUACUACUAUCACCUUUUUGGACGAAAACAUUAUGCAUUAUUAUCAUUUUCAUAUCCAAAUAACUACCUUUACCAAGCAUCCACCUCAUUGUAAUAUAACUCCUUUCCCCUUUACUCAACCCCUAUAGCAUUAUGUAACUCACUUUUUACAUUAUCAUCAAGUAAAUAAAAACAGAUCAUUAAUUGAAGCCGUCCCGCUCAAGGAAUAAACACUUGCAUUACAGCUCCCUACCCAUCCUAAACUUGGCAUCAGACCACAUCAAUUUGCAUAAAUGAUUAUUCUAAGCAAUUAUUUCAUGUGAACAGAUACGGGCCAUAAAUGUACAUACAUAACAAAACAAAAAAUUGCAUUUUCCAUGUAAAAAUGUGAAUAUGGCAUUUUUCCCAAGGACUAAAUUUUCUCAUACUCAACCUUACCAUAACUUAAUAGAAAACUCAUUAUUCUUGCCUAAAAUCUAAUAAAAAAACCUUUUGCAGGUAGUGUAGGUAAAUGAUCUAGUGUAUUGCUGGCAUAAUAAAGCUCUAAUAACUUGACAAAAUUGUAAACCCACUAAUAAGUAUUCAUUAGCUAAAAUGAGUCUUAUUUUGAAAAUACUCCAGAAUAUUCAUGUUUUUGCACGAAUAUACCUUGGCUCUGCAUUUUUCAGUAAUUAUUGCAAUAGCAAAAUGAAAAGAAAUGCUUGCAAAAGAUCCCCUCAUCUGAUUUAAAUAAAUAAAAAAAAAAAGCAAUCUGUUCCAAUACAAAUCUAGAUUUGGUCACAAUGAACGAGAACCAAUCUGUCAUGCCAUCGACAUAAAACAUAUACGAUCCAAAAUAUUCAGUUCAAGAGAAUUAACCAACUAAUUAAAAACAUUGCCUGCAAUUCAUCAAUUUGUUAUAAUAAAAAUAAAAAAUUCACCAUAAUUGCAUUCACAAAAUAGUCACACCAAGGACAACCUCAAGAAAAUAUGUGAUACCCUAUAUUAAAGAACAGCAUAUGGUAGAAUUUGUUGAUUCACAUACCAAUUCAAGUUCAAUGGUAAAUUAGAACAGCCAAAAUUGUUCAAAAUACAAAGAAAAUAACAACUUGGGAUCCAUUUAUCUCUAAUGGCAGCUUGCUCAACAAAAUCCGCUAGCAAGGAGGCACCGGCCUUUUCGUUCACUGAUAUUGCAAUGACAAAUGCAAGAAAAAUCAGAAUGAUUUAGUAAUUUAUUCAAGACGGCACAAAAAUGGAAAAACAAGACCCAUAACUCAGUAUCAUAGAGUGCCAACAACCAACUAUAAAAUUCUUAAAUUGGCAUAUACUCGUAUCUAGAACCACAGGUACAAGAAAAUUUAAAUGCAAAAUCAUAUCCUAACAUGAAUAUGAAUAUUAACAUGACAAUGAAAACAACAACCACAUCAUAGUAGCUCUAUUAGUUUUUUUUUUUUUAAGAAGGUAAUAAUAUGAUCAUUCCUUUCUUAAAACUUUGAAUCCAUUACCUUAAUUAAUCCAAUCUCCUUAGUGUUGCUGCGGAAGCAUUGUCUGCACCACAUCAAGUCAUACUUUCUGAUAAUACCAUGGGAGUUUCCACACACAAGGCUGUCAAAACAAACCAACGUAUAACCAUAAGCAACAAGUCAAAUCAUCAAAUAAUUCAAUCAAGUAUUUAAAAAAGAAAAAGCACCAAACCACCAGGAGGAGAAAAUAUCCACGUGGUUAGGUACAAUUCUUAAAAUGCCAUAGUGAAUAAUACCGUUAUCACUACAAAAUACUACUUACAACAGCUUACUAAACUCCCAAAAUUCAGUCGAGCCAUCAACGACACAAGACUUUUUUAGCAUGAAAAUCACAUUGACCCGUCAUUAGGACCAAUUUAACUUGAAAACAAGAUUAUAUACCAUAUGAUCUAGUAUACAAGGCAGUACACCAUGAACCUACAAUUUCUUGAAAUCCAAUCAAGGACUCCAGCAUCACUGAUACAAACACCAGAUUAUACUGGUAGACAAAACCACAAUAAAUGGGACUAAGAAUGAUAAAAUAAAAAAAGAUUCAAGAACCCCACAUGAUAAAUAUUCAGACAGAAUUAGACAACUGAAAAAAGAUGAAAAGCAAGUACUUUAUUUCAGGAACAUUGAUCUGCUUUUUCUAUUUUCUUCCUUAAACUGAGAAGGUUCAAGAAGCAUGGGAAACAAUGUUAAAGAAUACACUUUUUUGAGAAAAUAACCUUAUAGAAUCUACCUUCAAAAGGGAUAAACAAAACUUACAAAACCGCAUGAAGAUGGUGGAGGAAAUUUCCAGAUUAUGUACCUGCAACAUCACAACAUCAUAAAAGGGAAAAAAUUAGACAACUAAUCUGGUAAAUAAUAGGAGAUAAAAAAUACCAAAGGGCCAAAUAUCUGAGGAAAGGACACGAGGUGUCAGAAAACACAGCAAUCAUGAUACUUAUGCAAUAGCAAUGAAAUGGAGGCUACAUUUCCAAAAGAGGGCAGUAAAUGCAACAGCACAAGUAUGAUCAGUCUGGAACAAAAUUUUCAUUAUAUGCUAAUUCAGAGCCAAUUACAAUGUCACAGAGUAACAGGCAAUAGACAUGAAACUUCCAAUACAAGCCCUUACACAUAAACUCCCAAUUACAAGGCUAAUUUGUAAGAAAUUCCUGGGGAAGUGUCACCAUAGCAAAAAUAAAAGAACGUUAACUGAUUUAAUCCAGUUCUUUGGAUUAUAGGGAUAACAGCACAUUUUCUGUGUCCUAGUUGGUCCAAACAGAGACAAAAGAAAUCUGGCAAAAUUAAAACAGAGAGGACGAAGCUACAAUCUUUGCAAUUUCAAGGCCUAUACAUUUAAAAUAACGUUAACGACUACUGAUGAUGGUCUUUUUUCAUUUAAAUAGGUUUUGGGAACAUUUUCAGUUCAAAUAUGUCUGAAAUUUUCUAUAUUUUUGUCUAAUUUCUUUCCAUAACUUUCCACAGAAAAAAAGUGCAUAUAAUAAGUAGAAAACACAAAACAACAUUUCACCAAAAAAGAGAAAUGCAUUCUUAUAGAAUCCCAUCAAUAAUACAAAGAAUCCCAUCAAUAAUUUCAAUUUCAUAACUCUCAUUAAAAAGAAACAAACAAAAUUCGAAUCAGUGAUCAAAACUUGAACUUCAUAAACGUCCAUGCACUAGUCUAAUGUUGGCGAAUUCUGGGACUUGUGCAUAAUAUUUACUAUAGUUUCUUGACCUAAUAUAAGUUUGCCAGUGUCAAGUGAAAAAGGCGAAUAAUCUGCAACUCUAACCAUCAAAUGCUACCACCACGAGAUGGGUUAAAAAUUCUUCCGAGUGCAGUUCAAGAACUCAGUAGAGGCGAACAGAGGGACUUACGUGAAAGGAACUGCUUAGAAUCAGAGGGAGAAGAGGGACUUACGAGAGCAGCACUAAUCAGCGGGGACAACACUGGCAAGUGGCACGAGAUGUCAGAAAUAAUAGGAGAAAAAGAACUAAAAGACUAAUAAACAUAGUUCGGAGAAAAUGAAGCAAUAAGAGAAUUUGAAGCAAAAAAAUUCCAGCCAACUUUUCAAUUUUGUUGUUGUCUAUCAGAAAGAAAUUGGAGAGAAAAAGUGCAGCUUUCUUCGCGAUGAUGAGGAAGAAGACGAGAAGAAAGAGAGCAUGGGUCAGAGAAAGGGAGUCGGAUGGCUAAUUCUUCCUUUCAUAAAAAAUAAUUGAUGGCUAAUUGAUGGGUUAAAUUAAAAUAAAAAAUAAACUUACAGACCCGAUUAGGCUGAAAAUCCAUUCUCUUCUCUUCAUCUGCUUAUUCUUCUUCUCAUCUUCUUCCUCUGAUCAGGGAAAAAAUUAAACAAAAAAAGACUCACAGAACCAGCUUAAAUUUCACGAAAAAAAUGUAAAACAAAAGCAUACAUGUUCUGAUGAAGAUCCAUUUUUCCCCUUUCUACUUCUUCUUUUCAUGGCUUACGUUUUUCUUUGUCCCAUUUCUCUUGCUGUAAUAUAAAUCCAACAGAUAGACAUGAUAUCUGGGAAAAAAAAAUUGAACUCAAACAGGUGGGCAUUCGACAGUUGGACUGUUGUUGGCUUGUUCCAGUGGAAGAAAAGCAAAGAGGGGAAGAAGAGAGGAAGAAAUGAAAAGAGGAAAGAGAAAGAUGGAACCUUUCCUGGUCUCGAGCUCAUCGGCCAAAAGAGAAAUCGUGUGGCUUGGAAAAGGAAACAAAAAUUGAAUGACAAAGAAUACAAACGGCAGCGGUGGUUUACCAAGGCACAGCUAUCCCAAAAAGAAGAUAAAUGAACAUGGCAACCAGGGCAAAUGAGUAAGACAUGACCCGUCACAUUGAGCUCAGUAACUACUCCAAUUUUUAUCACAAUUUAUUAGUCCAAUCGGUGUCACCAAAAGGCUGCAAAUAGGUACGGUGGGAAGAGAAAUGACCCAAAUGUUUGAAGAAAAAGGACAGCUAUUAAUUAUUGCUCUUUUGGUGGGUUCCAUACAGCAAAACACUCAGGCUUACAAACGCACGACCCAAUUUGCAGCCUCUGCAUUUAAAAAAAAACAAACACACACACACACAUGGACGAACCCACUCUAGCCAAUAAUAAUUGGCCACAUCAGCAAAACAACCAUCCCUUUUGAGCCAUGGCAUUCGCUCUUUUAUACAUAUGUUAAUAAACCCGAUACGACUUCCUGAUUAUUCCAGGAUCCAACAAUUAAAACUUUACACACAAAUAAAUGGUCAAAUUCACUUAAAAAUUGUGGGGUCAUCUUCCACAUUAAACUUUUGUACUAUCCAAUCGCCACUACUUCAAAUUAAUUUGGACCGUAAGUAAUGUCAUUACUUUCUGUGAAUAUCAAAUAUGAAAAGUGCAUUAUAUAUAUGAGGAAAAAAAAUAAAAUGUACUAGUUUUCAAUUUCUUUAUGUAGAAUAUUUUCUUGAAUAUUAAUUUUUGAUAUAUCUUAGUCAAGGUCAUUAAUCAACCCGGACCUAAUCAACUCCAAACCCAGGGCAAAUUUCUUUAAAAUAUUGCCAAAAAGAAGUUCGAAAAAUAUUGUUGAAAAGUUGAGUAUUUUUCUAUCCAGGCUCGUAGUAUCUCUGACAUGCAGUGGACUAGUUCACUAGUUCCAUUUUCUUUUUAUAAAAGCAGUCUGUUUGCCAGACACAUGGUGAGCCACAUUUAAAAAUUGAUUUCUAUCAUAAAGCCUAUCAUGUCCGGACAGAAGAUGGACUGUUUUUUAAAUUUUUUAUUGAAAGCAAGUGAAAAGUGUUGCAACUCAGGACUUGGAUAGUAAUUCUAAAAUUUAUUAGUGCACCUAGCUUUUAACUUUUCGUGUGCUUUUUAGGUAUCAAAUGGGGGAAAAAAAACCAACACCAUAUAACUUCAAAUGCAAGAUGGUACGAAAUUUGUAUACAAUGACAUGUAAAAAGUGGACCGUUCAUCACAAAGAUAUUUAUCCUAAUAUUAGAUUCAUUUUUUCAAAAAUUCAACUUUGCAUGCAAACAUGUAAUCAAUAUGCAUAAAUAGAUAGCAUUAGAUGAAUUUAAACAAGUAGCCUUCAAAUUUAAAAAUAUUUGAUUUCAUAAAGGUGCAUUCGCAAUUUAAAAAAAGUACUUUUCAAAUGGCAACUCUAGAGAACAAGAAAUACUCCUACUUUAUUUUGAUUUCAAAUCUUCUUUUGACUUGUCAAAAAAGUGAAAACACGAAACCAAUAAUGGGUCAGAUAGAGAGAAGUAUUAGAAAGAGAAAUUUGUCAAAUUGAUCCCUAAUAUUUAUACAAAAAUUUUUUUUAGUCCCUAUAAUUUAAAAUCAGUCAGAAUAGUUAUUAACAUAUAAAUUAUGAUUCAUUUUGGUUCUAAUGCUCGUAUUUGCUCAUUUCUUUUACUAAAAAUAGCACGCCUCUCUCACGUGGACAUAUUUUCAAGGGCAAAAUUGAAAAACACAAGCUUUUCUCCCCUUUUCAAGGAUAACAUUUUCGCAUAUUUUUCUUUCCAUGUUCUGAAAUUAGGGCUUUUCUCCCCUUUUGCUUCUGGUCAUGGACUCUUUGCUAUCGAGCUACGUCUCUUCCGAUGAAGAACAAGAAGAUAAACCACAGCUCUCAAAUCCCAGUUCCGCUGGAUUCCUCUCCUCACUGCCACCCCCAAAAUCUUCAUCAUCAUCUUCUUCCUCAUCCAUCUUCUUUCCAUUUCCCCCACCCCCAAUCCCACCCCCCAAAGCCCCCCAUCUCAUCGCCUUCCUCAACCCUGAAUCCACAUAAAUCUAAUGAACUUCAAGAAGAGAGGGAUGGGCAGCAAUUGCUAAAAAAUUGGGAAAGUUCGAGAUUUUUUAUAUCACUUCCAAAACCAUUGUCAUCUUUGUUCGCUUGGUUUCCUCAACCCAAAUCAUCUUCCACGUCAUCUCUUUUCUCUUCUCUUCCGUAGCCCACCAAAACCCACAAUCUUGAUGCCCGGGUUUCGCCUCCUGUGCAAUUUGCUAGAAAGAAGGUGGUGGUGGUUCCUUGGCAGUUGGAUCACACAGCUUUAAUGGAAAGGUGAUGGAAUCAAGCUCGCCGGGUUUAAUGGUGGUGGUUCCUUGGGGGAUCAACAGCAGCAGCCACACCGCUAAAGGGAUCAAGCCUCAAAUUGACGCGGGUGCUUUUCAGUUUGAGGAGAAUAUACUGAAGUAGCAGCAGCAGAAGCUUCAAUUCCACAUUUACACUGAAAAUAAUAGUGUUUUCUAGUUUUGUCCUUGAAAAUAUGCCCACAUGAGAGAGACGUGCUAUUUUUAGUCGGAGAAAUGAGCAAAUACGAGUAUUAGGAUAAAAAUGGAUCAUAAUUUAUAUGUUAAGAACUAUUUUGGCUGAUUUUAAAUGUUAGAGACUAAAAAAAUUUUUUGUGUAAAUAUUAGGGACUAAUUUGACAAAUUUUUCUAUUAGAAAUUUGUUUUCUAGAUUCUUUGGUUUCCCAAUUUUUUCAACGGGUCAACUCGACCAUUAUCACAUUCAUGUGAUUGUAGGUCUACCACGCUUCAUAGUCCAUAACGUGGAUUGGCACCACAAAAGAUGGUGUCAAAACACUUUUUUAGUUUAGUAAGAUCUGUGUAUGUAUUAGUUCCUAACACAAGUCUCUUUAGAUUUUCCCUCCUUUGUAAUUUAGAAUAAAAUAGGUUAUACAAUUGUUAUCGUCUCCAGAAAAAAAAGGAUAAGUCCCACCCUAUUAUUAUUUUUCUUUUAUCAAUCAACAACGCCUAUUCUACACCUAUUUGACUUCUAUUCUAGGGGAAAGGGAGGUCCAACUGGAAAAUUAAUGGUGAUUGAACCACAAUUAGACCAAAAACUUUCUAGAUAAAAUUUGAUCUAAAAAAUAAAUAAUAAUAUAUUAACUUAUUAUUUAAUGCGAUACAUAUUCAAAUAGAUUAAAUUUAAUAAUUUUAAAUUUUAAAUUUUACAUUUUAAAUUUUAAUUUUCAAACUUCAAUGUUGCCAUACUUACAACAACAACCUCUAGAUGGUCAACACUUAGAGUCGUAGCCCUUGCUUUUGGCAUUCCCUGGUCCAUAUGCUAUGUUGUUAUCAAUGAGGAAGCAAAUGUCCGCUAUUAAUUACACGAGACAUCAGUCAAAUCAGUCAAAAGAUGUUAUUGAUUGAACCAAGUGGGCAAAUUGAAUGAACCACCAGCUCCACCAAGCCCUUAAGGCUUCGGUAACCUUGCCUCCCAUUAAAAUGUCAUUCUUGUGGCUUUUCUUCAAAUUUAGAUCGGUGUAUUGUGCACCCGUCUGAUCCAGUGGUGAUUCUGUUCUCAUCGAUCUUUCAUAAGCUCAAUUGAGCCUUCCUGUAAUUAGAAUAGGUGUAGGAGUAAGGAUGACAAUUGAUUAAAAAAAAAAAAAAAGUGAGCAAAUUGAGCGAGGAUGCGUAAUUGACCUGGAAGUCUUGGCAGACUUGGAGGAAUCAAUCAACAUUCUCUAACUUGAAUGAGGUAAGCACAAAGGUAAGCAUUUUCCAUUUUUAUUUUGGUUUUCAUUUCUUGUAUACUCUAAAACUUUUUUCAUUCUACCCCACGCACAUAUAAUAUAUAAUGAAAUGUAAAUUUUUUUAUGAAAACAUAUAAAAUAUAUAAAAUGAAAAAUAAAUUUUUUAUAAAAACAUAUGUUUAUAUUUAUCUUUGUAUAAUGAAAAUAUAUAAUUCAUUCUACCAAUAUAUACGCAUAUAUAUAUAUAUAUAUGUAUAAUGAAAAAUUAAAUUUCUCCUUCAUCUUCAAGGCUGCACCUACAAACAACAAAACUCCGCUCCACUCAACUCUUUCCUUCGUGUUUUGUGUUUUUUUAUAAAAAACAUAUAUAUAUAUAUAUAUAUAUAUAUAUAUAUAUAUAUAUCUUUUAAGUUUCACUAAUUGUUUUGUUUUUUACUAAUAUUACCUCAUGAGAGGUAAAAAGGGUAUAAAUGGAACAACAUUAUUAUCUCAAUUUCCAAAAGACUUUUUUAAUGGUACUUUUUCGAACAUGGGUUGAAGCUAUUAUCAAAAUCUAGUUUAGGAAAAAUUAGUGCUAUUUUUCAAAAUUUAGGAAAGCUGAGUACAACUGUUAGAAAUCUCAGGGACGGUUUUUGCAAUUAUCCCUCAAAGCAUAGACCAAGACUACACUAAUCCCUAAAAAUUUGACACCUAUUUCUUAUAACUAUACUAGAUAAUUUCAUAAUUGUAUAGAAAAAUAAAUUAAAAUUUAUUAUACAAAGGUAUUUUUGGAUAUUUAUUUAAAAAUUUGAUCAAAUUAAUAUUAUUUUAAAACUUUAUUACAAAAACUAUCAAAUCAAAGGAAGUAAGCGUAAUAUUUCAAACCUUACAGUAAAAUUGUUAGAAACCUCAUAGAGGUUCCUGAAAUUAUCCCUAAUAUUUUUUUUUGUACAAAAAACUCCAAAAAAAGUGGCAGCUCAAACGGGGCCAACAAUCUACUAUGUUUGCCUGUUCUCCCGCCGGACCCACCAGCCGCCGGCGGCCAUGGGUCAUCUAUAAAAGCAUAGAUCAAGACUACACUAAUCCCUCAUCAGUCCAGUCCAUCCAUAAUUGCAGAAACUGGUAGGUUUUGUAUUUAACAAAAAUAUGAGACUUUGUAGAUUUUGAAGUUUAAGGAAUGGAUAUUUGAAGUUUAACGAUCGUUAUACAACUUUCAAAACAAAUAAAUCCAUUCUAAUUUUUUUUUGGAUAAUUUCAUAAAUCAAAUCGUGGUCACUUUCGCAAAAGUCAUAUUUUUCCAUAAAAGACCAGCUCUUUAUGGCUUUCCUCCAUUAUAAAAACAUAGUACCCAUUUUUCCAUAAACAAAUUUAUUUAUCGAAUAAAAUAAAAAUAAAUCCGUUUUCCAAUAAAACACCAGCUCUUUAUGGCUUUCUUCCAUUAUAAGAAUAGAGUAACCAUUUUUUCAUAAACAAAUUUAUUUAUCGGAUAAAAUAAAAAUAAACCCGUUCUCCAAUAAAACAUGAGCUCUUUAUGGCUUUAGAAUGAAGGGUUACUCCCUCUUGUUUGAUAUAUCUGAACCUCUUGUUUAAUUUAAAAAUCACCACCAUCAUUCUUGUUUGAUAUAUCUGAACCUUUCACAUUUUUACCAGUUUUUUUCCCUUUUUUUUUCUCUCUUUCAAUUUCCUAAAGAUUGAUGAAAUCUUUGCAGGUCCGAAUAAACCAAAGAACGAAAAUCCAAUCAAAAAGUUCGAAAUUAAAGUUUAAAGGAAUGGCAACCUCAGAAGUCGUUCUCCGGUGCCUCCCUCGUCCCUCACGUCGCAGUAGUCACCAAGUCUUCAGCAGUCAACAAGUCUUCAGCAGUCAACAUCCAAAGCUUAUAAAGUAGCACGAAUACUAUUGUAUAUAAGAACUUAAAUUUUGCAUCCGCGAGGGCGGCAGAAGUCAAUACUCCAGGAGGGACUAGGGGCAGAGGGCGGCCGCCGCCGAGGGAAGUGGGAACUGGCUAUAGAAGGUCAUCGGGUGGUGGACUAUGAGGAGAGCAAAGGAAUAUCAAUUGAGAGUGCAGCGUAUGAUGGAGAGAAAGAGAGGGUAUGUCCGUCAUAAAUGUUGUCUGAGGGAAUAAGUUGAGAGUUUUGUCCAAAACUUCCCAAUUUGCUCGAGAAUGGGAUAAGUCAGAUUUUUUAGAAAUGAUUCCAAAAAUUACAUUCCAAUAGGCUUAACCCAAGCAACAAAUAAAGGGUUUAUUCCAUUCUGUGAUUCCCAAACCCUUUAACCCAAUAGCCCCUUAAUAUUUUUUUACUAAUAUUACCUCAUGAGAGGUAAAAAUGAUAUAAAUGGAACAAAAUUAUUAUCUCACUUUCCAAAAGACUUUUUUAAUGGUACUUUUUCUAACAUGGGUUGAAGUUACUAUCAAAAUCUAGUUUAGGAAAAUUUAGUGCUAUUUUUCAAAUUUUAGGAGAGGUGAGUACAACUGUUAGAAAUCUCAGGGACGAUAUUUGCAAUUAUCCCUAAAAGCAUAGACCAAGACUACACUAAUCCCUAAAAAUUUGACACCUAUUUCUUAUAACUAUACUAGAAAAUUUCAUAAUUGUAUAGAAAAAUAAAUCAAAAUUCAUUAUCCAAAGAUAUUUUUAGAUAUUUAUUUAAAAUUGAUCAAAUUAAUUAUUUUAAAUUUUUAUUACAAAAUCUAUCAAAUCAAAGGAGGUAGGCGUAAUAUUUCAAACCUUACAGUAAAAUUGUUAGAAACCUCAGAGAGGUUCCUGAAAUUUUCCCUAAUUUUUUUUUGGUACAAAACCCUCCAAAAAAGUGGCAGUUCAAACGGGGCCAACAUUCUCCUAUCUUCACAAGUCCUCCCGCUGACCCACCAGCCGCCGGUGGCCCCGGGUCAUCUAUAAAAGCAUAGACCAAGACUACAGAAAUCGUCCAGUCCAUCCAUACUGUAAGGCCCGGUGCAACCCAAUGAGUACAAACAAUUUCACAAUGAUGCACAAAGAUAUAUCAAAUUUAAGCACAAUAAAGAAAACUUAAUUAAAGAGAAAAGAUAAGAAAUGCAAACCAAAUAUCAAUCCAAUAGCCUCUUCAAUUGAUGGCGAUGCUAACCAAGAUGUACAAGUGAAGGCUCACUCCUUCCUCACCCCAAACACUCUUUGGUUGAGCCAAGGAGUUUUACAACUAUUCUAGUUAACCCUCAACAACUUACACUUGAAAGAUCACUCACCCAAUUAAGAACUAUUUUAUACAAAUGAGGCAACAUUCACCAAGAUUUUACCACUCCAAGUGAUAGGUUCACCUUCACCAAGGUUUUACUCCUGCUAGAGAGUAACCUUCACUUGAGCAACCUCACAACCCAACUUUCCCAACCCCUUAUACAACCAACAAAGAAUCUUUCUACUCAAAAAUCUCACUUGUAAGCUUGUAUUUUGUGUUGGCAAAAGUCUGGUGUCUUCUUGUGCUUUGGGGUGUUUAUAGAAGGUGAGAAAUGGCUCCAAAAGGCUCUCCAACGCUCAAAUAUUAAAUGCUGUCAAAACUAGCCGUUGGCUUGUCGGACGUCCGAACCACCUGUCGGACGUCCGAACCCUGCGUCCAAACCACCUGUCGGACGUCCGAACCCUGCGUCCGAACGUCGUCAGAGAGUCAUCAAAUCUUUGCGAAAUUUCUCGGACGUCCGAUGCUUUCUCACGAGCGUCCGACAAAGUUUCCUUCUGGAUGUUCUUCAUCCUUUCGGACGUCCGAUAGCUUCCUUUCGGACGACCGACAUGAGUGCCCUGUUUUUGCUUCUUCUUUUGUGCCACAAGAAUCUGUUCUAACAAAUUGCUCACAUAAAAACAUUAGCCCAAAUCUACAUUUUGGUUUGUUAAUCAUCAAAACCAAGGUCAACACAUACUUCUUCUUCAGGCCUCAGCUACUAAACAAUAAACUCUGCUCCACUCAACUUGUGCUCAAAAUAUGACAGUGACCAAUUGUUCUACAAAAUUAGUAGGAUAAGCAGUUGACAGAUUUUAUAAUCCCUUUUGGUCAAAUAUUAUUUAAAUUCAUACUUUAAUCUUAAAUUUAUAGUUGGAUGGUCCAGGAUGUGGUAAAAUUUUUCAUUCAAACUAACGAUAGUAUGAAAAAAAGACUAAUUAAUAAAAAUACGAUCUCGAAAAAUUUUUAAUUCACAGUCACAAUAUGUGAAUUCGUGAUAAAUACAAAAAAGUAUGGUACUUUGAUAAUACAAUGAAGGAAAGCCAUAAAGAGCAGGCCAUUUACGGGAAAAGUUUUCAUUAAUAAAAAUACCAACUCUUCACGGCUUUUUUACCAGUCCUUCAACGUAUGAGCAAAGUGCCAAUAAUUAAAUUAGUAAUUUUUUCGAUUUAUACAUAAUUAAUUUUUUUUUGCAUUUCCACAAAAAACAAAUGAAAAUUUUUUAUCAGAAAGCACAAAAGUCAAAAUGAUUGGUUUAAAAGGGAAAGGAAUAGCAGAUAUGUACAGUACUUGUAUUUCACGUUCGAAAUGCUACAGUGCUAUUUUUGAAAAACACCCCCAACAAAAUCUAAUCCAAACGGAACCAAUUUUCAGUAUUUAAAAUACCAAAUUUGUGAAUGUGUUUUAACUGUUAUUCAUUGGUAUCCUAAAAUAUCAUUUUUUCCAUCAAAUAUCAGCUCUUUAACACCUAUUUUCCCAUAAACAAAUUUAUUUAUCGGAUAAAAUAAAAAUAAAUAGCUAUUUCCAAUAAAUAGCUGGUGUUUUAUUGGAAAAACCCGUUUUCCAAUAAAUAGCUAUUUCCAAUAAAUGGUUGGUGUUUUAUUGGAAAACGGAUUUAUUUUUAUUUUAUCCGAUAAAUAAAUUUAUUUAUGAAAAAAUAGGUUCUCUGUUAUAAUGGGAAACAGAGUACCUAUUUUAAACAUUUCCCAUUGAAUUUGUUUUGGAUAUUUAUUUAAAAAUUUGAUCAAAUUAAUAUUAUUUUAAAACUUUAUUACAAAAACUAUCAAAUCAAAGAAAGUAAGCGUACAGUAAAAUUGUUAGAAACCUCAUAGAGGUUCCUGAAAUUAUCCCUAACUUUUUUUUUUGUACUAAAAGCUCCAAAAAAGUGGCAGCUCAAACGGGACCAACAAUCUACUAUGUUCGCCUGUUCUCCCGCCGGACCCACCAGCCGCCGGCGGCCAUGGGUCAUCUAUAAAAGCAUAGAUCAAGACUACACUAAUCCCUCAUCAGUCCAGUCCAUCCAUAAUUCUCCUAUCUCCACAAGUCCUCCCGCUGACCACCAGCCGGCGGCGGCCCUGGGUCAUCUAUAAAAGCAUAGACCAAGACUACAGAAAUCGCUCAGUCCAGUCCAUCCAUACUUCCUCUUCAGGCCUCAGCUACUAAACAAUAAAUGAUAGGUUGCAUUUUAGUGGGUAUUUUGGGCAUUAUUGCAUAAUUAAUUGACUAAAUAUUUUCGUUAAUUGGGUGGAUUCUACUGAUAUUUUGUUUUGGUGCUAAUUGCAGGAAUGGUUGCUGAAAAGCGCUUAAAUUCAACUUUUAGAAGAUUCAUCGGAGUGGGGCCCGUUUGAGAAGCGGAAAAAACCUAAUUGUAAUAGAUUUUAUUUUAAUAUAUAUUUCUAGGGAGUCUUGCUGCAAUUUUGGAGAAGUAACAAUUUGUAAUUUAUCUCUGGCGCGGCUUAGGUUAGAGGAGAGUCUUCGUUUUUGGUUUUUGAAUGAGAGGAGAGAGCCGCAGCCUGGAGGGGAAAAAGGCAACGGACAGAAGCCAUCAUUGUUGACUUGUGAGAAACGAAUUCUUCAUGUUUUGACUUGACAACUUGAGAAAUCAAGCAAUUGAGAAACUUUCACUCUCGUGUAUCUUGACUUCAAUUGGAAAAAGGAAGAAAGCUUAAAGGAGCCGCCAUUGUUGACUUUGCUCUUGGGCUGUCCUACCUUGUGCGAAUCGAAUUGGAGAACAAAAGCAAUCUCUCGUAUGUUUCCACUUAACAAUCGAGAGCAAUACAAAUUUGAGCUUUCUCCUCCUGUGGUGGACCGAAGCGGGAUAAUCGAAGUGCAAACCUUUCUCAGUUUUCCACGCGCGGUUUGUCCUCCAUUAAUGGAGGGCUAAUUCUCUAAUUCUAGUCAAGGGACAGCUGAUGAAUUGGUUCAAUUAAUGCUGUGAGAUCUAAACCGCUUUUAAUUAUUUCCUCCGUUUAUUGGUAUUUAUAUGUUCUUUGCUUUUAACUGUUAUAGCUCUUGUGUAUGAUUGAUUAGUGCGCAAUAAUUGAUUAUUCAUAUAGGCUAUUUUGCUAAAUAGAGGUAAUUGAAUCCGUAAUUGUUCGUUACCUCUAUCCCAGUAGCAACUGGUAUAAUUGGGUUUAUGUCAGGGGAAUAUAUGAUCUAGCUUAAAUAAACCCUCGUAGCGUGUUUAUUGGUUAGGAUUGGGCCUUUCUAAUUAUUAAUGCAAUCUGGAAAUUGAAUCCUACGGUCGUACCUAGGGUUGUUUUUGGGUUAGAGAAAUAGCUAACGGUCGUACCUUGGCUAUCGAUAAAUUAAGGAAUGGUUGGUUGUUUAGCGCGUGCGAGACAACUAGAACCAAUCUAUUAGUAAAUGUUGGAAUUACCUUUGAAUCAAUGAUCAGUGCAUGAACCAUUUCUGAAGUAUACCCUUGGCUAGAGUUUCUCUCAUUUAUUUCUUUUAAUUAAUUAUUUUCUGCAGUUAAUUUGUUUAGUUGGCAUUUGAUACCAAAACCCCCCAUUAAUCUUGAUUUGAAAAGAAACAAAUAUCUCUCCAGUCCCUGAGGAGACGACCCUGCUUACCACUAUCUACUAGUUAGAGAACUCAGUUAAAUAAUUGAUUCAGGUAUAUCGGAUUAAGCAAACUCUUCGGGAACAGGGUGAAUCAAGUAACCCAUUGCACACCUAGAGUCCCUGCUCCAGUACUCGAAUUGAUUACUAGCUGUUGCAGGUGGUAGUUAGGAUUUAUUUAUUAUUAUUGCACAGGUUCGGCACCUGUCAAUUUUUGGCGCCGUUGCCGGGGACUGGCGUCUGAAUUAGUUGUUUCUUUUUGAAUUCAGUUUUUAUUUUGUUUUAUUUUAUUUUUCUUUUUCUUGGUACUUUUGCUAGUUUAUGCCCCGUUCUUCUCGCACAGGUGACUUGGUAUACGAUCCUGAGGUUGAGAAGGCAGCACGUAGGCGAAGGCAAGAGACCAAGAGACAAAAAGAAGGGUACUCAUUUUCUGAAAACGAGUCAAUAGAAGACGAAUUGAGCAUGGCCAACACCCAGACAUUACGGGAGCUGGCUACCCCAGAACUGACUCAUCAGCCCUUGUGCAUCACGUUCCCAACUCUGGCUGAGAAUACCUCAUUCGAGUUGAAAUCGGGGUUGAUUCAACUCCUACCUUCGUUCCAUGGCCUUUCUGGUGAGGAACCCCACAAACAUAUCAAGGAAUUCGAAGUGGUUUGCUCUAGCAUGAAACCCCCUGCGGUCACCGAAGAGCAAAUACGACUCAGGGCUUUCCCUUUCUCUCUCAAGGAUGCAGCGAAGGAUUGGCUAUACUACCUACCUGCAGGUAGUAUCACCACGUGGGCACAGUUGAAAAAGAAAUUUCUGGAAAAAUUUUUUCCCGCAUCCCGGGUUGCGAGUUUGAGAAAGGAAAUAUGCAGUAUCAAGCAGUACUCCGGGGAAUCAUUGUACGAUUAUUGGGAAAGGUUCAACAAGUUGUGCAAGGGAUGCCCACAGCAUCAGAUUAGCGAACAACUGUUGAUCCAGUACUUCUAUGAAGGGCUCCAGUCAACUGACAGGGGUAUUAUUGACGCUGCGAGUGGAGGAGCCCUGGCGAACAAAACACCGAGGGAAGCAUGGGACCUUAUUGAAGCCAUGGCAGAAAACUCUCAGCAGUUCGGCUUCCGUGAGAGCAAUCCUACCCGUAGGGUAAAUGAGGCAGAGACGUCAUCCAUCCAGCAGCAACUGUCAGAGUUGACGUCUGCAGUCAGGCAGUUGGCCAUGAGAGACACACCGCGAGCAAAGGUGUGUGGAAUCUGUACUAGCAUGGACCACUGCACGGAUUCGUGCCCCAUUCUGCAAGAGGACGGGGCGGAACAGGUAAACAUGGCCGGAGGCAUGCCCGCGCCCCGCAGGCAAUAUGACCCGUAUUCCAACACAUACAACCCCGGUUGGAGAGACCACCCCAAUCUCAGUUACGGGAACAGGCAACAAGGUUCAUUCCCGAAUCGUCCACCAGGAUUCCACCAGCCUUGGCAACCAAAAUCUCAACCCUCAUCCUCCAAUACAGGAAGCUCUUUGGAGGACCUAGUCAAGAACCUGGCCACGACUACUACCAACCUGGCCACGACUACUACACAGCUUCAACAGGAGAUCAGAUCCUUGGCCGCGAAAACCGAGCAGCUCCAGCAGGACACCAAAGCUGACAAGAAAGACCAAGAUGUUCGAAUAAGUCAACUGGCAACUGCCAUCAACCGCUUGGAAUCUCACGUUUAUGGGAAACUGCCAUCGCAACCCGAGGUAAAUCCCAGGAAUGUAAGUGCCAUGACGCUGAGGAGUGGCAAGGAGCUGGAAGAACCUAAAGUGAAAAAUUCAAAAAGCAAAAGCGAGGAGGAGAUAGAAAAGGAAAUUGAGGAGGAAGGACGUGUUCGUGAAGAUCCUAAGGUAUCCUCCACCUCUCCACUCACUAUCAGCUCUAACUUACCCCCUUUUCCUUGCAGGUUGGAAAAGACAAGGAAAGUAGAGAGGGAAAAGGAACUUUUGGAUGUAUUCAGAAAAGUAGAGAUUAACAUCCCCCUACUGGAUGCAAUCAAGCAAAUACCGAAAUAUGCCAAAUUUCUGAAGGACCUGUGCACCCACAAGAGGAAGCUAAGGGGAGAUGAACGAGUGGCGGUGGGAGAAAACGUGUCAGCUAUACUCCAGAGGAAGCUCCCACCAAAAUGUGGAGACCCAGGUAUGUUCACCAUUCCCUGCAAGAUAGGAGGUACUCCAAUUAGGAAAGCAAUGUUGGAUUUGGGGGCGUCAAUUAAUGUUAUGCCCAAGACAAUCUAUGCAUCUCUAAAUCUUGGCCCGUUAAAAGGCACAGGCAUUAUAAUCCAACUUGCAGACCGUACCAAUGCUUACCCGGAAGGGUUAGUUGAAGAUGUUUUGGUACAGGUCAAUGAGUUAGUUUUUCCUGCAGAUUUCUAUGUCCUAGACAUGGGGGAUGAAAGGGCACUAAAUCCGUCUCCUAUUCUGUUAGGUAGGCCAUUUUUAAGCACUGCUAGGACUAAAAUAGAUGUAAAUGAGGGUACCUUGUCGAUGGAGUUUGAUGGGAAAAUUGUAAAUUUUAAUAUUUUUGAGGCGAUGAAGUACCCAGAUGAGACUAACUCUGUUUAUGCUUUAAGUGUUGUUGAGCCCCUUGUACAGGAAAUAUUUGAAUUGGAUGGGGUUGAUGCACUGGCAGUGGCAUUGACCAAACAUCUUGAGUUGGGAGCAACUCUUGAUGUAGAAAUAAAUGAUGAGCUAGACCACGCUGUUGGAGCACUGCAUUCGCUCCCACCAAUUUCCCCAAGGUAUGAGCUUACUUCUGUUUUUGUACCAGAAACUCAGGCAAAAUUGUUGCCUUCUAUUGUGCAGGCGCCUGAGUUGGAGCUCAAACCUCUCCCAAAGCAUUUGAAGUAUGCUUUUCUCGGGGACAAUGAGACACUGCCAGUCAUCAUAUCUGCACACCUGUCACCAGGGCAAGAAGAUAGACUAAUUCGCCUUCUUCGAGAUCAUAAGGAGGCGAUUGGGUGGAGUGUAGCAGAUAUCAAAGGAAUUAGCCCCUCCUUAUGCAUGCAUCGAAUCCGGCUUGAGGAUGAUGCAAAGCCAGUUAGACAAGGGCAACGGAGAUUGAACCCACUAAUGAUGGAAGUGGUCAAGAAGGAGAUACUUAAACUCCUAGAAGUUGGAAUAAUUUUCGCCAUCUCAGAUAGUCCCUGGGUGAGUCCCGUGCAAGUAGUCCCGAAAAAGGUGGGAGUAACAGUUGAGGAGAACCAAGAGGGUGAGAUGGUCCCGGUGAGGAAACCCACAGGAUGGCGUCAGUGCAUUGACUAUCGGCGUCUGAAUGCUGUGACAAAGAAGGACCACUUCCCUCUACCUUUUAUUGAUCAGAUGAUAGAAAGGUUAGCUGGCCGUGUCUAUUACUGUUUUCUUGAUGGUUUCUCUGGUUAUUUUCAGAUCGUAAUAGCACCAGAGGAUCAGGAGAAGACUACCUUCACCUGUCCCUUUGGUACAUUUGCCUACCGGAGGAUGCCUUUCGGCCUCUGCAACGCCCCAGCAACUUUUCAGCGGUGUAUGGUAAGUAUAUUUUCUAAAUAUGUAGAAAAAAUUAUUGAGGUGUUUAUGGAUGAUUUUAGUGUGUAUGGAGAUAGUUUUGAUGAAUGCCUUGAUAAUUUAGCUUUAAUUUUGAAAAGAUGCAUUGAGACAAAUUUGGUUCUAAAUUGGGAAAAAUGUCAUUUCAUGGUGGAUCAUGGUAUUGUUUUAGGGCAUGUAGUGUCGUCCAGAGGUAUAGAGGUAGACAAGGUAAAAGUCGAUAUUAUCUCUGUUUUACCUUACCCCGCAAGUGUGCGGGAGGUGCGCUCCUUUUUGGGUCAUGCAGGGUUCUACAGGAGAUUCAUAAAAGACUUCUCGAAAAUUGGAGCGCCCCUGUUCAAGCUGUUGCAAAAAGAUGUAGCAUAUGACUUCACCGAGGAGUGCAAGGUGGCAUUUGACAGAUUGAGGGAGUCAUUGACAUCACCACCUGUUAUCCAACCUCCAGACUGGAGCCUCCCAUUUGAGAUAAUGUGUGACGCGAGUGAUUAUGCAGUGGGAGCAGUGUUGGGGCAACGGAUUGGUAGGGCGGCUCAUGCAAUCUAUUAUGCAUCAAAGGCGUUGAAUGGAGCUCAACUCAAUUAUUCUACAACAGAGAAAGAAUUACUUGCUGUGAUUUUUGCACUAGAAAAAUUUAGACCAUACUUGCUAGGUGCAAAAGUAAUAGUUUUUUCUGACCAUGCAGCCUUGAGAUAUCUGAUGACGAAGAAAGAUGCUAAACCAAGGCUUAUCAGAUGGAUCCUGCUCCUCCAAGAGUUCAAUUUGGAGAUUAAAGAUAAGAGUGGGGCAGAAAACUUAGUCGCUGAUCAUUUGAGCCGCUUGCUUGCUCAUAAGGAAGAGCCACCAUUGAGGGAGGCAUUUCCAGAGGAGCAACUACUUGCCAUUAACUCGUCUACACCCUGGUAUGCUGAUAUAGUAAAUUUCUUGGUGACUAAUCAAUUGCCUGCAGGGUGGCCCAAGGCUAAGAGAGACAAGUUGAAAAGUGAUGUCAAAUAUUACAUUUGGGACGACCCGUACCUUUGGAGACAAUGACAGGUGCCGAACCUGUGCAAUAAUAAAUACCUACUCGAGAAAAAUACAGAUUUUGUAUAUAGCGGUGAGUAGGGUCGAAUCCACAGGGACUGGGGAUAAUUCGUUUCUUCUAGAGUCCAAAGUAUGGGGGGUUUUGGAUUAAAUGCUAACUAAAUAAAUUAAUUGCAGAAAAUAAUUAAUUAAAAGAAAUGAUUGGGGAAACUCUAGCCAAGGGUACACAUCAGAAAUGGUUCAUGCACUGAUCAUUGAUGCAGAAAUAAUUCCAACAUUUAGCAGUAGAUUAGUUAUAGUUGUCAUGCACGCGAUAAACAACCAACCCUUCCUUAAUUUCUCGAUAGCUAAGGUACGACCGUUAGCUAUUUCUCUAACCCAAAAAUAACCCUAGGUACGACCGUAAGAUUUAAUUUCUAGAUUGCAUUAAUAAUUAGAAAGGCCCAAUCCUAACCAACAAACACGCUACGAGGGUUUGUUUAAAUUAGAUCAUAUGCUCCCCUGACAUAAACCCAAUUACGCCAGUUGCUACUGAGGUAGAGAUAACGAACAAUUACGGAUUCAAUUACCCAUAUUUAGCAAAAAUAGCCUAUAUGAAUAAUUAAUUAUUGCGCACUAAUCAAUCAUACACAAGGCCAUAGCAAUUAAAAUCAAGGAACAUAUAAAUACCAAUAAAUGAAGAAAAUAAUUAAAACAGAUUCGAUCUCACAGUAAUUGUCGAACCAAAUCGUCAGUUGUCCCCUUGACUAGAAAAGCUUAACCACGCCUCAUGAGAAAAUCUCCCCGUUGGGGAAUAUUGUCGAACACCUGGCGUGUGUCAGAGGCCAGUCCAAAGAAAGAAAACUAGAACUAAACUAAAACUAGAGAUGUCCCUGCUACUCUACGUUAUCCCUAUUUAAGCAACAAGAGGAAGAUGACUAAAGGCUAUCUAGGUGGUCCCCACACAUGUGGACAAAGCCCUCCAAGUACUUCUUGUUCCAAGUCUCUUUCCCGUAGCUUUCUUUUAAGAGCCCAAAUGACUAGAUGCUUUCCACUAGCUUGUGGUCCCCCACCAAUUCAAGGGCCCAAGAAUUGAAGCCCUUAGAAGUCUCCCUAUUUUCCAUAAAGUCCUUCCUUUUUGAUGGUUUUCUGCUUCAUUCCUGAAAUUAAGUCCAAUACCAAAUAUAAGUAAAUAUCAGCAAUUAACACAAUAUUUGUCAGGAAUAAAAGGGGAAAUUAAUAAUAAAAUUACUAACAAAUUAUACCCUAUCAGACAAUGUUCGGAUCAAGUGCUCAGGAGGUGUGUAAGUGCAGGUGAAUUUCACUCCAUUUUAAUCUUCUGUCAUUCGUUUGCAUGUGGAGGGCACUUUGGGCCCAAACGAACAGCUCGAAAGGUGUUGGAGAGUGGUUUUUACUGGCCCACCCUGUUCAAAGAUGCUUAUUUAUUCUGUAAAUCCUGUGAUAGGUGUCAAAGGGUGGGGAAUAUUUUUCGCAGGGACCAAAUGCUUCAAACCCCCAUGUUGUUUGUUGAAAUUUUUGAUGUUUGGGGGAUAGAUUUUAUGGGUCCUUUUCCCUCAUCUUUUGGUUUCCUAUACAUUUUACUUGCUGUGGAUUAUGUCUCUAAAUGGGUGGAAGCCAAAGCCACCCGUACUAAUGAUUCUAGAGUGGUUGCAGAGUUCUUAAAGUCUAAUAUCUUUGUCCGUUUUGGGAUGCCAAGAGCUGUGGUUAGUGAUAGAGGGACACAUUUCUGCAACAAAACUAUCACGGCCUUGUUUCGAAAAUACGGUGUACUGCACAAGGUAUCCAUACCGUAUCACCCGCAGGCGAACGGUCAGGCCGAAGUGUCGAACAGGGAAGUCAAGUCGAUCUUGGAGAAGAUGGUGCGCCCGGACAGGAAGGAUUGGAGUUUAAAGUUAGAGGACGCACUAUGGGCGUACAGAACCGCGUAUAAGACGCCAAUUGGGAUGUCUCCCUAUAGACUUGUUUUCGGUAAGGCUUGCCAUCUCCCCGUGGAGUUCGAACACAAGGCGUUUUGGGCAGUGAAGCAGUGUAACAUGGGAUUUGACGAAGCAGGGGUCCAAAGGAAAUUGCAACUACAGGAGUUAGAGGAGAUAAGAAAUGAAGCUUAUGAGAAUGCCACGAUCUAUAAGGAAAAGAGUAAAAUCUUUCAUGAUCAACAGGUUUCUAGGAAAACUUUUGUAGUGGGGCAAAAAGUCCUCUUGUAUCACUCAAGGCUUAAACUUUUUCCCGGUAAGUUGCGUUCUCGUUAGAUUGGUCCAUUUGUCGUUUCUAAUGUGUUCCAUUAUGGUGCAGUGGAGAUCCAGAGUUUAAACACGGAGAAAAAGUUCGUGGUGAAUGGCCAUCGUCUCAAACCUUAUUAUGAGGGUUUCUAUGUUGAAGAAGUAGAGGUUGAACACCUCCACGAUCCACUUUCUCAUGCUUGAGGGUUUUGGCCAUGUCUAGCCAAAGACAUUAAAGAAAGGCGCUACUUGGGAGGCAACCCAAGACUAUUUGUGGCAGUUUUCAUGCAUUUUUGAAGUUUUAGUUAUGUAUUAGUGUCGAUUGAUGGUUUGAUGUUUUGUGGCAGGAGAUUAGUGGUUAGGCGUGCCCACGCCGGGUGGUCACGCCUGACGGAGGAAAUUUUCGUUCAGGUUCUGCGGGCUACAUGGUAGUUAGACGUGCCCACGCCAGAUGGUCACGCCUGACGGAGGAAAUUUUCGUUCAGAAUCUGCGGGCUACAUGGCAGUUAGGCGUGCCCACUCUAGGUGGUCACGUUAAAAAAAAAAAAAAAAAAAAAAAAAAAAAAAAAACUUCCGUAGCCCUACUUCUCCUUUUCUUCUUUUUUUCUUUCUUUCUUCUUUCUUCUCCCUUUUCUUUCUUUUCUUCUUUUCCUUCUUUUGCUUGGUCGGCCGCCGCACCACACGCCGUCCAUCGCGGUCGCUGCACAGCCGCGUCUCCCAGCCGCGCGAGACCGCGCGCGCCUGCCGCCAGCCCAUCGCGCCGCCGCCUGCCUCGCCCAGCCUCGCUUGCCGCGCGCUAGCGCGCAGCCAGAAUCAGACCGCGCGCGUCUUCCUGCGCUGGUCCAGAUCCACCUAGCAACAGCGGGCAGCAGUCUCCUCGCGCGAGCUCCUCUCGCAGGCAGCCCAGACGCACGCGAGCUCUGUCCAGACGCGCGCACCGCCCAACAACCCGCGCGCCACUCCAGUACGCCCCAGUUGCACGACAGUGCGCUCCCGCAGCUUCGCGCGACACUACCGCCGCCGUCCACCAAGCUCCAGCCCAACUUGCAGCAGCCGCACAAGCUUCUCGAGCAGUCAACCCACCGCGCGGGCCACCAGACCCACCAGCCGCAGUCGCGGACCACAGGCGCGCCGCCCAGCAGCUCGCGCAACCUCUGCACAACUCAGCCAGCGCGCAGCCAACACCAGCGCGCCCCUUGUGCGUGCGACCAAGCAGCCUCUGCGCGACUCCGGUGAUUUCUUUUUCAAUUUCUGUCACUAAGUAGCUGAUGGUUCCGCUGCCAGAAUUUAAUUUUGUAGCUGAUGAUAGAAUGUUUAUUUGCUAGCUCAGGACAGAAAUCUUGUGCUUGAUUUUGGGUGCUGUGUUAUAUCCGUGGGUGAUUGCUGGCUAAUUGUCGAAUUUUGUGCUUAAUCAGUGAUAGUUGGGGGGGAAUUUUUACCCUGGUUGCCUGUUUAAUUAGUCUUGGGAAAAAUUGUUGUGUUUACCUACUUAAUUGAUUUUUGGGUUUAUUUGGUUGUAUUUGGGAAAAAUUUUGGUGUUCGCAGGUUUAAUUGACUCUUGGGGUAAUUUUAUUGUUGAUUUGUGCACUUGUUUGGGAUUGGGAGCUGUGGCUGGGGAUCAUUUGUUUUGAUUGGCUAUUUGUUGGCUAUUUGUUGAUCUCGUUGGGUUACCAUUCCCCUGCCUUGGACCUUCCCUCUGAUUUCAAAUGACUAAACCCAAGAACAAAGGCAAAAACACGCCCUCCACUUCCACCCCUCAGCCUACGGUCCCCUUAGAGCGACCUUCCCCAUCGACUGGGCCUGGAGGACCCCGUACUCGCCUUGGGCGGAAUAGGGAGGUUCAUAUCUCCUCUCCGGCCCAUUUUGGCGGUCACUUGACCUUCACCCGGGCUGCCGACAAGGAGCGGUAUGCAUCGGCUUGCACAAGGAAGAUUAUUUCUUGUAAAUACAUCCAUGGCCCUACACUUGAUAUUUUAAACCUGAGGGAUGAAGUCACGCAGCACUUGACUAACGUAGGUUGGACCCGCUAUGCUUCUAUCAUUUUACCUGCUUUCACUGAACUGACGUGGGAAUUCUAUGCUACCUUUGAACUUAAUAUUCCUGAUGAAUUUUCCGUUACCACUCCUGGGGUAGUGAGGUUUCGAUUAAUGGGUAGAGAGUUCAUCCAAUCUAUAACUGAGUUUAAUUUGGCUUUUGGGUUUAUUGAUAUUCCCUACUCCCAGAGUGAGGAGUACAUGCACAGUGUGUGCGAGUACUCGGAGCCAUUUUUCUCUCAUUACCUUGAUUAUUGGAGUGGUUUGUCAGUUGACCGACAGUGCUAUGACCCCAGUCAGUCUAAGGCCUCUUAUCUUAAGAGCGCCGCCUACCGCUAUUUACAUCGAUUCAUGGCCUAUAGUUUCUCAGGUAGGAAGGAUAGCUCGGGUACUCUGACUAAGCCCGAGUUCUUUUUCGUUUGGUGCAUGGUCACUCGGACUAAGGUCAAUGUGGGUGGCUGGUUUGCCCUCCAGCUCCGAACUGUGCUAACUAAGAAAAAUAAGCCAUUAAUCUUAGGCUCAUUUAUCACUCAGUUGGCAGUGAAUCUUGGGGUUUUGGACUUAAAUAACCAUAAUUUGCAUCGUGCUUGUACUAUGGAACCUCUCGAUUUGGUUUGUUUGGAGAGAAUGGGUCUUGUGCGACAGGUUAAUGGCGUUUUCCAGUUUGCUCCCCCGGGGCCAAUCUCUGUUCCUCCGAAGCGCAGCGCUUCCAAAUCCACUGCCCCGGAGACUGGUGGUCCUUCUACGGAUACACCUGGACCUUCCUCUUCGGCACCCCCACCAUCUUCCUCCGUCGAUAGCCAGCUUGCAGCUCUUCGGUUCCAGAUGCAACACAUGGACAAUCGUAUGGAUCGAAUGGAGGGCCAAAUGGCCGGCAUGGCCCAGAAUUUAGCGCAGUACCUCCACCACGUGGGUUUCCGGCCACCGUGCCCUCCACGACCUUAGUUCACCUCUGCCCCGCCAUAUUAAGGGAAGUGUCGUGCCUUUAUCGCUUUAUUUUCCUCUUUAUCCGCUUCCAUUGGGGACAAUGAAAGGUUUAGGUGUGGGGGAGGGUUAACUAUGCUUUGGUUGUGCUUUUCGUUGUCUGAUUGAGUUUUUCCUUGCCUUAGUAGUUGUCUUUUCUUUGAACGAUGAUGAAUGCGAAUUGGGAUAUAAGCGUACAUAGUAAGUUCAUGCCAUGGGGUGUUCCACUUUCCUUGAUACUGAAUUGAUUGAUUAAUAUGCUGAACUUGACAUCCAUUUGAUCACUUGUGCGAUUUUUUUUUGGCCUAAUUUUCGUUUUGUUGAGUGGUUAGUGCACAUGGUUUGUCAUUCUAGAACUUGCUCGGUUAUGCAUGUCAAGAUCACAUUUAAAUGAAUUUAAUGCAUUGAAAUGAUAGGGCACCUAGGAAUGAGCCAUUUUUGGGACUUUCUUAAAACCAACCCUUGGAUUAUUUAUUAUCAUUAGGGAGCCAAGUUGAGCCUUAACCCCUAUUCGUUGCUUGAGACCCCAGCUCUUAGCCGUGAAACCUCUUUUUAGACUUUGUUUUUGAACCUCGUGUGAAGAAGUGCUUUGAUUUCAUUAUACAGACUUUUGGAGUGUUAUUCGAAGGGCAUUACACCCAUUUAUGUAUCUAAAAAAAAAAAAGAGAAAAAAAAAGAAAGAGAGAAAGAGAAAGUUGACUUUUAUGUGAAAAGAAGACAAAGUGCAGGAAACCAGCAAGUAAAGUUGACUUUUAGGGUGCUGGUUGGGAGUAUUGGAAAAAAAAAAAAAAAAAAAAAAAAAAGGAGAAAAGGCGAAGGCUGUGGCAAGUGCUAGUUCGCUUCACUUGUGUGAUGGUUGAGGUGCCUUUAAAUUUCAAAUGUGCAAAAAUCUAUGUAAUGAAUUUCUGGGCACUUUCUUUAUACUUUUGCACCCUUUUGACUCCUUUUUAUCCUACCUUCUCACCCUAGCCCCACUACAACCUUGCAAAGUCCCUUGAUUGCUGCAUUUAAAUUCAUGAGUAGGUGGUGGAGAUAUGAUAUAUGAGCAAGCUUAUGGUAGUGUCAUUCUAUUGUGUUGAUUUGAGAGCCAUCUUAUAUACAUUUCAUAUACACUUUGGAGUGAACGAGUGCAUUUGGAACUGUGAGCAUUGUUGAUUUGGUAUAUUCUGAUUUCGAUGAGGUUAGUGGGGAGAUUGGGAUGCCGUUUUUGGUAUGAACUGCUGUGAUUAGCUUCGUAUCUCGAUUGUAUUUCUGAGUAAUUAUGCUUGAGGGCAAGCAUAGUUCAGGUGUGGGGGAGAUUGAUAGGUUGCAUUUUAGUGGGUAUUUUGGGCAUUAUUGCAUAAUUAAUUGACUAAAUAUUUUCGUUAAUUGGGUGGAUUCUACUGAUAUUUUGUUUUGGUGCUAAUUGCAGGAAUGGUUGCUGAAAAGCGCUUAAAUUCAACUUUUAGAAGAUUCAUCGGAGUGGGGCCCGUUUGAGAAGCGGAAAAAACCUAAUUGUAAUAGAUUUUAUUUUAAUAUAUAUUUCUAGGGAGUCUUGCUGCAAUUUUGGAGAAGUAACAAUUUGUAAUUUAUCUCUGGCGCGGCUUAGGUUAGAGGAGAGUCUUCGUUUUUGGUUUUUGAAUGAGAGGAGAGAGCCGCAGCCUGGAGGGGAAAAAGGCAACGGACAGAAGCCAUCAUUGUUGACUUGUGAGAAACGAAUUCUUCAUGUUUUGACUUGACAACUUGAGAAAUCAAGCAAUUGAGAAACUUUCACUCUCGUGUAUCUUGACUUCAAUUGGAAAAAGGAAGAAAGCUUAAAGGAGCCGCCAUUGUUGACUUUGCUCUUGGGCUGUCCUACCUUGUGCGAAUCGAAUUGGAGAACAAAAGCAAUCUCUCGUAUGUUUCCACUUAACAAUCGAGAGCAAUACAAAUUUGAGCUUUCUCCUCCUGUGGUGGACCGAAGCGGGAUAAUCGAAGUGCAAACCUUUCUCAGUUUUCCACGCGCGGUUUGUCCUCCAUUAAUGGAGGGCUAAUUCUCUAAUUCUAGUCAAGGGACAGCUGAUGAAUUGGUUCAAUUAAUGCUGUGAGAUCUAAACCGCUUUUAAUUAUUUCCUCCGUUUAUUGGUAUUUAUAUGUUCUUUGCUUUUAACUGUUAUAGCUCUUGUGUAUGAUUGAUUAGUGCGCAAUAAUUGAUUAUUCAUAUAGGCUAUUUUGCUAAAUAGAGGUAAUUGAAUCCGUAAUUGUUCGUUACCUCUAUCCCAGUAGCAACUGGUAUAAUUGGGUUUAUGUCAGGGGAAUAUAUGAUCUAUCUUAAAUAAACCCUCGUAGCGUGUUUAUUGGUUAGGAUUGGGCCUUUCUAAUUAUUAAUGCAAUCUGGAAAUUGAAUCCUACGGUCGUACCUAGGGUUGUUUUUGGGUUAGAGAAAUAGCUAACGGUCGUACCUUGGCUAUCGAUAAAUUAAGGAAGGGUUGGUUGUUUAGCGCGUGCGAGACAACUAGAACCAAUCUAUUAGUAAAUGUUGGAAUUACCUUUGAAUCAAUGAUCAGUGCAUGAACCAUUUCUGAAGUAUACCCUUGGCUAGAGUUUCUCUCAUUUAUUUCUUUUAAUUAAUUAUUUUCUGCAGUUAAUUUGUUUAGUUGGCAUUUGAUACCAAAACCCCCCAUUAAUCUUGAUUUGAAAAGAAACAAAUAUCUCUCCAGUCCCUGAGGAGACGACCCUGCUUACCACUAUCUACUAGUUAGAGAACUCAGUUAAAUAAUUGAUUCAGGUAUAUCGGAUUAAGCAAACUCUUCGGGAACAGGGUGAAUCAAGUAACCCAUUGCACACCUAGAGUCCCUGCUCCAGUACUCGAAUUGAUUACUAGCUGUUGCAGGUGGUAGUUAGGAUUUAUUUAUUAUUAUUGCACAGGUUCGGCACCUGUCAAUAAACUCUGCUCCACUCAACUCUUUCCUCUGUGUCUUGUGCUCUUGUCCGAAAAUGGCGGCGUCAGAAGAAGUGAAAGUGCCAAGAAUCAAGCUGGGCUCGCAAGGUCUUGAAGUUUCAGCUCAAGGGCUGGGCUGCAUGGGCAUGUCAGAAGCCUACGGGCCGCCGAAGCCCGAGCCUGAUAUGAUCAAACUCAUCCACCAUGCUAUUUGCAGAGGUAUCACCCAUCUUGACACCGCCGAUAUGUAUGGACCUCACACCAACGAAAUACUCAUUGGCAAGGUACCGUAUUUACAAAUUUUCUGCUGUUGUGUGCUGUGCAUAAAAUCUUGUACUUUUAAUUUCUGAAAGAGCAUAUUUGUAAUAUUUUAUUUGGGUAUAUUAUACUUGACCCCCUGCACUUCAAAACUUGUCUCCCUUUGGGCCCCCUUAAUUUUGUUUGUGAGCACUUGAACUCCAUUUGUUUAAAUUGUAAGUAUUAUUAGUCAAAUAGGACAUUGUUCUUCUUUUCUUUUGCUUCAUUUCUUCAUGUUACUGCCUUUUCAGUUUGUCCUCCUUUAUAGACAUGGGAUGAAUUACUUUGAUUUUGAUUUUGGCGCAAUUUUGUAUAAAAUGAUUUUUGCUAUGAAGUUAUUGAUUUAUUAUGAGCUAUGCGUUGUAUAUUUACACAAAUUCUGCUAGCUAAACUUUUACUUGAGCAAGCCUUCCAUACAUGAGCAAUAUAAUUCUCUAUGGGUGCAUUUCGUAAAAUUGAAGUUUGAAAAUUAAAAUCUAAUUUAAGUCUAAAUUCAUAAAGUUAUUAAAUUGUUAAGUAUUAAAUUUGAUACGUUUGAGUGCAUGUCACAUCAAACGAUCAGUGAAUAAUUUAUCACUUAUUUUUUGGAGCAAAUUUUGUUUAAGAAAUUCAAUGCCAUUUAAUUAAUUCCGAUAUUCAAUUUUUUAUUAUCAAACAUGUUUGAAUAUGUUAAGAUUUGAACCUAUUAAUUUUAAGUGUUGAAUUGGAUUAUCAAAUAAGACUUAUAAUCAUUAGGUAACCAAGCAGACAACAUGUUUAGUGUAUAAUAGUAAUUAACUUUCAAUUGUCUCAUUAUUCUUUGGUAAAGAACUCUUUGAAUAUUAAUAAUAAUUUUCUCAUACACGGGAAUCAAAAUAAUUGAAGUUUUAUCUCUACCAUUGAGAUAUGUUACCUUCUAAAAGAAAGGAAAGGGAAGGAAACAUGGGGGAAAAAUAGGGAAAGGGCAAAGUGAUGAUAAAUAAAGUUGGAAGUAGCAAAACGAGACAAGUGAAUUAUUGCAAGGCGUUAAGUGUAAAUUAUGUUUAUUUUAUUAGACUAUUUAACCAGAAAGACUGGACUCUUUUAAGGCACCAAUCAAAAGUUCCAAUUGCUGGAAAUAACAUAAAAACCUAGACUUUGGUUUGGCGUUUUUGGAGGUGGUUCAUGAAAAUUUUAUUGUAGUUUUUUUUUCUUCUUGAAAAAUAUAUUUGUAAGAGAAAAAAAGUGGUUGAAAAAAAAUUGAGAGUUUUUUUUAAUAAAUUGUUUUCUAAAUAGUUCAGUCACCCAAAAUUUUCAGUAUUCCGACAACGGCAUCCAUGUGGUGUCAAUUGUCAAACGUGCAACAAAGUUGAGAAGAGAAGGUCGCAGGUCUAGCGCAUACGUUGAAUAGCUAUCAUCUCUACAUCAUAAUGGAGUUGGUAAAAUAGUAGUAUUUUCGUCUUUGAUGUUAAACUUUUCAUCAAUUUAUGGAAAGUUUGCUAUUUCUCUGAUAAGAGAUAGUAAAAUUUACUUUUUAUGAGCAGUAAAGUUUUAAAGAUUAUGAAAAGAGAAUUGUAUGAAGGAAUAGAAGGGAAAGAAAGGUAAGAAAUGGAUGGAUUGUAUUUGGAUUGAUUUUGAGAGAGGAAAGGAGAGGAAACGGAAAGAAAAAGGAAAUGGAUGUAUUGUGUUUUGCUCAGACAUCAUUUCCAUACAAAAGUAGACGGAAACAGAGGGAAAGAAAAUCUUGUUGAUGAUUUUCUAGUAAAAUGCCUCAAGCACCCCAAUAAAUUGUGGGAUGCAACAGCAGGCUACGAAUGUUUGACGAAGCAACUUAUGUAAAUAUUUUAUCGUUAAGUAAAGUUCCUCUUUUGCUGUUAAAAAAAAAAGAAGAAGAGGAAAACAGUAUAUUUAGGUUUUCUUUCUUUCCCAACCAUAUCUGAUCCAAAUAAGACAAAUGAGAACUAUUUUCCUCUACUCUCCUUUCCUCUCUUUUUCACCAGGAUGUUUUAUUUAUAUAUUUAUCCUUUCCUUUGAUCCAAAUGGUUCCUAAAAGGGCAAUUAUUCUACAUUGAUCAGUUCCCUAUUUUCGUAUUAAUUUGCAUGUGCACGAUUCUGUGUAUGUUCAUGUUGUGCAUCAAAUCUUGUGAAUGAUAAAGCUAGAGUGUAAAUUUAAGUUGAAGAAACAUAAACCAAAAAAAAAAAGAAAAUGGAUUGGCUCCUUUAAAGUAUCAGACUUCUAAACCCCAAGGAUUACAUACUUUUCAUAUCCUUUGCCAUACAAAGAAGUGGCAUAGCCUUAACAAUGAAGUGUUGGAAAAACUCCAGAAGGACUGUGCCAUCCAUGAAAUCACAAAUCCACUUGUUAUACCAUGCAAUAAUGUGUAUGUCCUUGAUGAUUAAUAUAAUGAAACCAUGGUUCUAGGCCUUGAAGGAAGGAAUAAGAGCGAAAGUGGAGCUAGCAACCAAAUUUGCAAUCAGUUUUCAGGAUGGGAAGUUUGAUGUACGUGGUGAUCCAGCCUAUGUGAGGGCUUGUUGUGAAGCAAGUUUGAAGCGGCUUGAUGUGGACUGCAUUGAUCUCUAUUAUCAACAUCGCAUCGAUACAAGUGUGCCCAUUGAAGUCACGGUUUGCUCCAUCUUGCCUUUCUUUUAUUUUAGCUCCACCUCAUUCUUGAUGAAACAAAAGUUUGAUCAACUCCAAAUUUAGAAUAAUUCAGUUUCAUGUCCGUUUCAAUUCUUCAAAAAUUGCACAGAAAAGUUAGUCAACCUUAUGGUCUCGGCUAAUCUGCAGUAUGGUAUAGCUGAUUUUGCACAAGGCAUCCUGAAAAGUGAAAACAAUGAAAAUGUCUUGUAUUAGCUUGACAGUCCUGCUGAGGGAUAUACAGAUGGAUAUCAUGCUAUACAUUGUACAGCUUUCCUUUAGAACCAAGAGACCUGAGCAUUCUCUUUCAUUUGAGAUAGGCUAUUUACUUACAUUGUCAUUCGUUUUCAGUCGGUGCCAAAAGCACUGCGGAUAGACAUUUAUUAUUGAUAUCUAAAAAACAUGGUACUCAUUUUGUUCAGAGCACAGCUUUUUGUCUAAUUGUGAAAGCCAGCUGCAACUGCCCCAUUGACCUCUCCAAGCAAUUCAAAGAUUUCAGCAGCUUGCUUACAUUAAGCUUUUAUGAAACGAUUUCUCUGUCUUCUUUUUCUCAUGUAAUCAGCAAAGAAUUGUCUUGUUUUCCCUGAGUAUUAGGUAGAAACUUUCUUGCAGUUUAAUCACUCAAAAUACAGGCAAGUAUAACGGAAAUCAAGCAAAAUUGGCAACUGAUAAUUGAUAUGUACGGCCAUUAUUCUAUAUAGAAGUCAACAAUGCCAUGUAAUCAUAUUGGAGGAGCAUUAUGUUGGCAUGGUCCAGUAGAACUAAGUCCUCCGGUUGGCUGUACAUAGAGAACUAUCACUGGAUGCUUAUUGCCAUUUUCAUCAAUUAGUGAUUUCAGUUUGAUGUAUACUUUGUCCACAACUUCGUUGAACUAGUGCAACUUUUACUUUUUGCACGUAAUAUUUCGAUUAUCUGCCUAAGUGUUGAAUGUAAUAAAUCAGCUUAGCAUCUUCUUGUCCAUUGAAAUUCUCUAGAUAGGAGAGCUCAAGAAACUGGUUGAAGAGGGUAAAAUAAAGUAUAUAGGUCUGUCUGAGGCCUCAGCUUCAACAAUUCGAAGAGCACAUGCUGUUCAUCCAAUAACAGCUGUACAGUUGGAGUGGUCAUUGUGGACCAGAGAUGUCGAGGAAGAGAUUAUUCCCACUUGCAGGUAGUGCAUAUAUUCUGCUGAAUUUUCUAAAUGGUCUAGAAGAAAUAUGAAGUUCUCAAUUCAGUUUUUGGUAUAAUCUUUCAGAGAGCUUGGCAUAGGGAUUGUUGCAUACAGUCCACUUGGACGAGGUUUCUUCUCAUCAGGUCCAAAGCUGAUGGAGAAUUUGGCUGAAGGUGACUUUCGAAAGGUUUGUACAUAUGUUUUUGAGUAUAGAUUGUUUAUAGUUCGAAUAAGUUUCUCACUCAUCUACUUUUACCAGAUUCAGUGGCAAUCUGCAAGUGUCCUGAUAGCUCAAAAAUGUACCCGUUUUCUAUUUUGAGUUCCCUCGUUAAUGGGAAAUGUGUUGCAGGAUCUACCUUCUACAAUUGAUGUUUCUUAGAGUACUCAGUCCACCUUACUUGAUUGUUCCUUCCCCUGAACUUUGUACACCUCAAACAAUACUAUCCAUCAUCUUGAAGUUAUUCAUAUUGUCUUCAUUUGUAGACGACACAUGCUUCACUCCCUUUUGCAUUUCUGGCGUUACAGUUGCUUGAAAUUUUGAAAUUCAUACAAUGUAGGGUUUGCCAAGGUUUCAAGCAGAGAAUUUGGAGCACAACAAGAAGUUGUAUGAGCGGGCCACUGCCAUUGCUUCAAGGAAGGGUUGUACUCCAUCACAGCUAGCAUUGGCCUGGGUCCAUCACCAAGGCAAUGAUGUUUGUCCCAUACCUGGCACUACCAAGAUUGAGAACCUCAAUCAGAAUAUAGGAGCUUUGUCUGUAAAACUGUCGGCAGAAGAUAUGGCGGAACUUGAAUCUAUUGCUUCUGCAGGAGUCAAGGGUGAGAGAUACGGGCCUGAAAUCAGCACUUGGCAAAAUUCUGAAACUCCACCAUUGUCAAC
rnacentral:lncRNA from 1 species